CAUUACCUUUCUGAGCAGGUGUCCUGACACAGAGAACUGGUCAUUUUGCGCAGGUCAUAAAGUACGGUUCCUCCCAGAGCGCGAUCGCUGGCGUUGUGCAGAAAGCAGCCGAUGUACGUUCCUGCAUGUCUGCUGCUGCUGAGGG